rnacentral:tRNA from 1 species
GGACAGGUGGUCUAGCUAGGAUCAUUGGGUUUACCGGGAUCCAUGAAAUGGUAUGAUUCCUGCUUGGGGUGCAGGCGGCCGGGGGUUCAACUCCCUCCCUGUCCA